GAAGGCUUGACCUCAAAUCAGGU
rnacentral:rRNA from 1 species